AUGAGGUUGGGGAGCGGCUGAGUCGGCCUUUUCCGCCCGCUCCCCCCUCCCCCCGAGUGCCGCUCCGGCUGCACCGCGCUCGCUCAGAGCUCCCGGCUCUUGCUAAGGUAGUGCCGCCGUCGUCUCUCUUCAGCCGUCGUCAUGAUCAUCUACCGGGACCUCAUCAGCCAUGAUGAGAUGUUCUCCGACAUCUACAAGAUCCGGGAGAUCGCGGACGGGCUGUGUCUGGAGGUGGAGGGGAAGAUGGUCAGUAGGACAGAGGGUAACAUUGAUGAUUCGCUCAUUGGUGGAAAUGCCUCCGCUGAAGGCCCGGAGGGCGAAGGUACCGAAAGCACAGUCAUCACUGGUGUUGAUAUUGUCAUGAACCAUCACUUGCAGGAAACCAGCUUCACAAAAGAAGCCUACAAGAAGUACAUCAAAGAUUAUAUGAAAUCCAUCAAAGGCAAACUUGAAGAACAGAGGCCAGAAAGAGUAAAGCCUUUUAUGACAGGGGCUGCAGAACAAAUCAAGCACAUCCUUGCUAAUUUCAAAAACUACCAGUUCUUUAUUGGUGAAAACAUGAAUCCAGAUGGCAUGGUUGCUCUGCUGGACUACCGUGAGGAUGGUGUGACCCCAUAUAUGAUUUUCUUUAAGGAUGGUUUAGAGAUGGAGAAAUGUAACAAAAAGUGAGUGGGACUUGAUGCAGAAUGAGAUUUCUAGAAAACCGUGCUACCCCUGUGUUGUAAUGCAUCUGGCCAUUACUUUGGAUGUAUCACCUGUUGUCGUAACUGGCUGCUGCUCUUCAUCCACACAACACCAGGACUUAGACAAAUGGGACUGAUGUCAUCUUGAGCUCUUCAUUUAUUUUGACCCUGAUUUAUUUGGAGCGGAGGCAUUGUUUUUAAGAGAAAAACAUGUCAUGUAGGUUGUCUAAAAAUAAAAUUGCAUUUAAACUCA